UACGAAGGGGGCUAGCGUUGCUCGGAAUUACUGGGCGUAAAGGGAGCGUAGGCGGAUAGUUUAGUCAGAGGUGAAAUCCCGGGGCUCAACCUCGGAACUGCCUUUGAUACUGGCUAUCUUGAGUAUGGGAGAGGUGUGUGGAACUCCGAGUGUAGAGGUGAAAUUCGUAGAUAUUCGGAGGAACACCAGUGGCGAAGGCGACUGCCUGGACGAACAUUGACGCUGAGGUGCGAAAGCGUGGGGAGCAAACAGG
rnacentral:rRNA from 1 species